rnacentral:lncRNA from 1 species
CUCUCUUAUUUACAAAUUGUUUCCACCGUUGAUAUAUGCAUUUAUAUACUAGUUGAUUUAAAAUUUAAUGGUAAUAUCAAUAAUUAUAAAUGUUACACCUAACCAUGGUCCCUGGGGCUAAGCGCUAUCCCUGAGUUAAAAUUUAACUCGCUGUUUUGGUUUGUGUAUUUCUACACGCCUGUUAUUUCAAAACUUCAGAGAAGUGAACACUAGUCGACCCAGAGAAGAUUUCUGAAGAAUUUUUUCCAAAUUUAUAGACAAGCUGUUGGGAAGUUUGCUUUGAAUUUUAGUUUAACCUCUGGUUAAAGCUGAUCGACUUUCGAAGAACCGACCCCAGUGUUAAAUAUUGAUAUUGAGCUACAUAAAUUAUUAAUCAAAGUUGUUUAAUUUAAUUUAAUAGCAAAUCAACUGACUAUCAUCAGAUUCAGACAAGUGUACAACUUGGCACAAUAGACACUCUUUAUUUCGAGUAGAAGAGUUACCAUUUGUAAUCAUAUCCAGAGUCUGUGGUACUUGUGUUUUCCCUUCGUGUCCUAGAUUGUUGUGUUGGGAGAAGGAAGGUUUUAAGCUUUUCAUACUCCUUUGUGACUUCGUUCAACUUUUGCUUCUCAUUAGUCAGCUGUUGGGUUGCUUUUUCUC